rnacentral:rRNA from 1 species
AUUGAACGCUGGCGGCAUGCCUUACACAUGCAAGUCGAACGGCAGCACGGGAGCAAUCCUGGUGGCGAGUGGCGAACGGGUGAGUAAUGUAUCGGAACGUGCCCAGUCGUGGGGGAUAACGUAGCGAAAGCUACGCUAAUACCGCAUACGAUCUAUGGAUGAAAGCGGGGGAUCGCAAGACCUCGCGCGAUUGGAGCGGCCGAUAUCAGAUUAGGGAGUUUGUGGGGUAAAAGCCCACCAAGCCUGCGAUCUGUAGCUGGUCUGAGAGGACGACCAGCCACACUGGAACUGAGACACGGUCCAGACUACUACGGGAGGCAGCAGUGGGGAAUUUUGGACAAUGGGCGCAAGCCUGAUCCAGCAAUGCCGCGUGCAGGAUGAAGGCCUUCGGGUUGUAAACUGCUUUUGUACGGAACGAAACGGCUUUUUCUAAUACAGAGAGCUAAUGACGGUACCGUAAGAAUAAGCACCGGCUAACUACGUGCCAGCCGCCGCAGUAA